GAUGGACGCUGGCGGCGUGCCUAAUACAUGCAAGUCGAGCGAACAGACGAGGAGCUUGCUCCUCUGACGUUAGCGGCGGACGGGUGAGUAACACGUGGAUAACCUACCUAUAAGACUGGGAUAACUUCGGGAAACCGGGGCUAAUACCGGAUAAUAUAUUGAACCGCAUGGUUCAAUAGUGAAAGACGGUUUUGCUGUCACUUAUAGAUGGAUCCGCGCCGCAUUAGCUAGUUGGUAAGGUAACGGCUUACCAAGGCAACGAUGCGUAGCCGACCUGAGAGGGUGAUCGGCCACACUGGAACUGAGACACGGUCCAGACUCCUACGGGAGGCAGCAGUAGGGAAUCUUCCGCAAUGGGCGAAAGCCUGACGGAGCAACGCCGCGUGAGUGAUGAAGGUCUUCGGAUCGUAAAACUCUGUUAUUAGGGAAGAACAAAUGUGUAAGUAACUAUGUACGUCUUGACGGUACCUAAUCAGAAAGCCACGGCUAACUACGUG
rnacentral:rRNA from 1 species